rnacentral:rRNA from 1 species
CAUUGCGCAUUCUUAGCGGCGGACGGGUGAGUAACACGUGGGUAACCUGCCUCAAAGUGGGGGAUAGCCUUUCGAAAGGAAGAUUAAUACCGCAUAAGCUUGUAGCAUCGCAUGGUGCAGCAAGAAAAGGAGCAAUCCGCUUUGAGAUGGACCCGCGGCGCAUUAGCUAGUUGGUGAGGUAACGGCUCACCAAGGCGACGAUGCGUAGCCGACCUGAGAGGGUGAUCGGCCACAUUGGAACUGAGACACGGUCCAGACUCCUACGGGAGGCAGCAGUGGGGAAUAUUGCACAAUGGACGAAAGUCUGAUGCAGCAACGCCGCGUGGAGGAUGACACAUUUCGGUGCGUAAACUCCUUUUAUAUAGGAAGAUAAUGACGGUACUAUAUGAAUAAGCACCGGCUAACUCCGUGCCA